rnacentral:rRNA from 1 species
UACGGGGGGGGCAAGCGUUGUUCGGAAUUACUGGGCGUAAAGGGCUCGUAGGCGGCCAACUAAGUCAUACGUGAAAUCCCUCGGCUUAACCGGGGAACUGCGUCUGAUACUGGAUGGCUUGAGUUCGGGAGAGGGAUGCGGAAUUCCAGGUGUAGCGGUGAAAUGCGUAGAUAUCAGGAGGAACACCGGUGGCGAAGGCGGGUCUCUGGGUAGUAACUGACGCUGAGGAACGAAAGCGUGGGUAGCGAACAGG